CUGUCUCUUUCCCCCAGUCAAUGAAAUUGAUCUCCCCGUGCAGAAGCGGGGAUCCUCACAUAAGACGAGAAGACCCUUUGGAGCUUUAGACAAAAAGUAGACCAUGUCCCCACCCCCCAAUAAAAGGAAUGAACUAAUUGGUCCCUACCCUUCGUCUUUGGUUGGGGCGACCGCGGGGAAACAAAAAACCCCCAUGUGGAACGGAAGACUAUCUUCUAUAACCAAGACCCACAGCUCUAAGUUUCAGAAUUUCUGACCAAAAAGAUCCGGCACCGCGGUCAACGGACCGAGUUACCCUAGGGAUAACAGCGCAAUCCCCUUUUAGAGCCCAUAUCGACAAGGGGGUUUACGACCUCGAUGUUGGAUCAGGACAUCCUAAUGGUGCAGCCGCUAUUAAGGGUUCGGUUGUUCAACGAUUAAAGUCCUACGUGAUCUGAGUUCAGACCGGAGCGCCUGUUUAUCAAAACAUA
rnacentral:rRNA from 1 species